rnacentral:rRNA from 1 species
GAUGAACGCUGGCGGUAUGCUUAACACAUGCAAGUCGAACGGACUCUUCGGAGUUAGUGGCGGACGGGUGAGUAACGCGUGAGAAUCUGGCUUUGGGUUCGGGACAACCACUGGAAACGGUGGCUAAUACCGGAUGUGCCGAGAGGUAAAAGAGAAAUUGCCUGAAGAUGAGCUCGCGUCUGAUUAGCUAGUUGGUGAGGUAAAGGCUCACCAAGGCAGCGAUCAGUAGCUGGUCUGAGAGGAUGACCAGCCACACUGGGACUGAGACACGGCCCAGACUCCUACGGGAGGCAGCAGGGGGGAAUUUUCCGCAAUGGGCGAGAGCCUGACGGAGCAAUACCGCGUGAGGAAAGAAGGCUCUUGGGUUGUAAACCUCUUUUCUUAGGGAAGAACAAUAUGACGGUACCUAAGGAAUCAGCAUCGGCUAACUCCGUG